UACAGAGGUCUCGAGCGUUAGGCGGAAUCACUGGGCUUAAAGCGUGUGUAGGCGGACGCCUAAGUGUCUUGUGAAAUCCCCCGGCUCACCCGGGGAACUGCUGGGCAUACUGGGCGUCUUGGGCCAACUAGGGGCAACUGGAACAAGCGGUGGAGCGGUGAAAUGCGUAGAUAUCGCUUGGAACGCCGAAGGUGAAAACAGGUUGCUGGGGUUGUGCCGACGCUGAGACACGAAAGCCAGGGGAGCAAACGGG
rnacentral:rRNA from 1 species